ensembl:lncRNA
CACAGUAGUCUGGCGCUGCAGAGGAAACUGCUAAUAUGCACAAUAAAGUCGAAAGAGAGGCUGGGGAAAUAGGAGGCAGCGCGCAUGAAGUGGAGACAGCAUUACCGCUCGGAGCUUUUCCACAGCGCAGGAAAUUCUUCUGCAAGUCAAAACCUGUGGAGGUUCCUGGUCGUGCAAUGCUGUGGCAGUGGUUUAACUGGGCUACUGCUUGAGAGUAGAAGAGCAGGCUGACAAAACUACCGAUGCAGAGGAGCGCACCAGGCGCAAAUACGCGCUCUAGAAAGACGAGGCAGCAAGAUACACGACGCAGGCCUGCAAACAACCAGCAGAAUACAACCAUGGGUACACUCAACGGACCUGUGGGACCCCUAGCAUGGUCCCCCAUGACCACAGAGUACCAGGAGAAGUUCCUCCCUCCCCAGCGGUACAAAACUAUCAUCACCACCUCAGGGAUGAAGGAGCCCUACCAUUCGCUGAAGGGCACGAGUGCAGAUAUCCGCACCUUAAGAUCCUGCUUCGUUGACCAAAACUGCCGUAAAAUCCCACCACAGGCCCCACAGCCUCCACAGCCUCUCAAAGACUACAGAAAGAGGGCCAGCAGCGUCACACGCCCUCCUGUUUGUACCAUGGCCCCCCAGAUGCCACCCAAGCAGGACUUUGUAACUGUGUAUCAAAGUGAUUUCCAACCUUGGGUGGUGAGCAAGCUGAAGCCACAUCGGCUGAAAGACAACUUCAACAUAAAGCAUGGAAUAGUUGCCUUGGAUUAUCCUCAUGAGCAAGAGAGAAGAUCCACAGCCAACUCUACUGGCGUCCCACAGGAUGUCUCCCACCCUGUGCAGCCCAGACCCAGCCAAGUUGAGCCACCGGAGCCGAGAGCAGCAUCCUUCCAACCAAAGGCGGCUUCACACAUAAACAAAGAACGUCUUGACAAAUCCAGUGACUUCUUUGACAAAUUCCAAUCCUGGUCCCUUGAAACCAAGUUCUACGGCCAACCCAAAGAGCCCGGUCAACCAGAACAUCACUGGUUUGUCCAAAUGACACACAAGUCCCACAGCACAAAGCCAAUUCUGCCGUCUGUGCAAACCAGCAUGAACAGUGCAUAACCCGUCCGUGGGAAUACCAUGAAGGAGGACUGUAGAGCUUGGAGUGCACCACAGGUCACGAAAAAACCUUCGAGCAGAUGUCCCAAACUAAACAACACUGCAGGCUCUAAUUCCAACUGUGACGCCACAAACAAACUUCCGUUUCCCAAGAGAAUGGAGUCUUUGCAGAGUUCGAGUCACUGCACUGAGAACGAAGUGACCUGGAUGUUCUGGUCCAGCUGUCUGGACACUGGAAAGACUGGAGGUGGCAGUUGUGUCGAGCCUCCUCGAAGCCACCACUGCCCAGUUUCCAGAAGAAACUAAAAGCGGCUAACAAGAUGUGGUGCUGCCACAGACUACCUCGGGUAGCUUCUACCCUUGCAUCAAUAAGAAGCCAUAAAUAGCAGUAAUAAUGUGUAAUGGCAGCUAUUUUUAUACGAGCAUCUGACUGACACAUCCCAUUUGAUUGUUAUAUAAUGAGCAAAAUCAAAGCCAGCUAAAAGUGGACUUCCUCUGAUUAUCGAAAGGUGUUUCUGAAUCCGCUGAAUCACCUGGAGAACAGAAUGUAGAUUAGAUGUCAAAAGCAC